AAUUGAGCAGAUUGAAUAGAGUUUGUUGUGGUAGAUGUGGGCUGAAGGUAUAGAGUUAAUUAGAGUAGAAUUGAGCAGAUUGUAUAGAGUUUGUUGUGGUAGAUGUGGGCUGAAGGUAUAGAGUUAAUUAGAGUAGAAUUGAGCAGAUUGAAUAGAGUUUGUUGUGGUAGAUGUGGGCUGAAGGUAUAGAGUUAAUUAGAGUAGAAUUGAGCAGAUUGUAUAGAGUUUGUUGUGGUAGAUGUGGGCUGAAGGUAUAGAGUUAAUUAGAGUAGAAUUGAGCAGAUUGAAUAGAGUUUGUUGUGGUAGAUGUGGG